UUCCCUGGAGCGUGCGUGAUCCCGUUAUUGGUGCUGACCUCACAAGCAUUAAGAAUGGGAGCCUAUGCGGCAGAUCGGUGUGCAUGCCCGGCGUGCCGGGAAGUCUGAAGAUUUGCCCUCGGUUCCCCCCUGGGUAACCAGGUUUUGCACUGGUACCGGACACGGCGCUUUGGGGAC
rnacentral:other from 1 species